CGUAGGGUGCGAGCGUUGUCCGGAAUUACUGGGCGUAAAGAGCUCGUAGGUGGUUUGUCGCGUCGUCUGUGAAAUUCCGGGGCUUAACUCCGGGCGUGCAGGCGAUACGGGCAUAACUUGAGUGCUGUAGGGGAGACUGGAAUUCCUGGUGUAGCGGUGAAAUGCGCAGAUAUCAGGAGGAACACCGAUGGCGAAGGCAGGUCUCUGGGCAGUUACUGACGCUGAGGAGCGAAAGCAUGGGUAGCGAACAGGA
rnacentral:rRNA from 1 species